CCCCUUUCAUGGUUGCACCUGGAGAGUUUCCAGUACUCUGCUAGUCUCGACUCAGGGAGGGAGAGUCAAGCAGAAUCAUACCCAUUUCAUUCCUAGCUUGGGCAGUGGCUAGUGAGUUGAAGGCAAUCUGCUACAAGU
rfam:Ornithorhynchus anatinus chromosome 3, whole genome shotgun sequence.